AACGAACGCUGGCGGCAUGCCUAACACAUGCAAGUCGAACGAAGGCUUCGGCCUUAGUGGCGCACGGGUGCGUAACGCGUGGGAAUCUGCCCUUUGGUUCGGAAUAACAGCUGGAAACGGCUGCUAAUACCGGAUGAUGACGAAAGUCCCAAGAUUUAUCGCCAGAGGAUGAGCCUGCGUUGGAUUAGGUAGUUGGUAGGGUAAAGGCCUAUCAAGCCGACGACCCAUAGCUGGUCUGAGAGGAUGAUCAGCCACACUGGCACUGAGACACGGCCCAGACUACUACGGAAUGGAGCAGUGGGGAAUAGAGGACAGUGGGGGGAAGCCUGAUCCAGCUAUGCCGCGUGAGUGAUGAAGGCCCUAGGGUUGGAAAGCACUUUUACCCGGGAAGAUAUUGACUGUACCGGGAGAAUAAGCCCCGGCUAACUCCGUG
rnacentral:rRNA from 1 species